rnacentral:rRNA from 1 species
GACGAACGCUGGCGGCGUGCCUAAUACAUGCAAGUCGAGCGGGCCUCCGGAGGUGCUUGCACCUCCGGACGGCCAGCGGCGGACGGGUGAGUAACACGUGGGCAACCUGCCUUUGAGGCCGGGAUAACACCGGGAAACCGGUGCUAAUACCGGAUACGUCCUCUUUCGCGCCUGCGAGAGGGGAGAAAGACGGUCUUUAAGGCCGUCGCUCAAAGAGGGGCCCGCGGCGCAUUAGCUGGUUGGUGGGGCAAGGGCCUACCAAGGCGACGAUGCGUUGCCGACCUGGGAGGGUGAUCGGCCACACUGGGACUGAGACACGGCCCAGACUCCUGCGGGAGGCAGCAGUAGGGAAUCAUCCGCAAUGGGCGAAAGCCUGACGGUGCAACGCCGCGUGAGUGAGGAAGGUUUUCGGAUCGUAAAGCUCUGUUGUGAGGGAAGAACAGCAUCCGGAGGAAAUGCCGGAGGUUUGCCGGUACCUCACCAGAAAGCCCCGGCUAACUACGUGCCAGCCGCCGCGGUAA